CGAACGCUGGCGGCAUGCCUAACACAUGCAAGUCGAACGAGACCUCCGGGUCUAGUGGCGCACGGGUGCGUAACGCGUGGGAAUCUGCCCUUCGGUUCGGAAUAACAGUUAGAAAUGACUGCUAAUACCGGAUGAUGACGUAAGUCCAAAGAUUUAUCGCCGAAGGAUGAGCCCGCGUAGGAUUAGGUAGUUGGUGGGGUAAUGGCCCACCAAGCCGACGAUCCUUAGCUGGUCUGAGAGGAUGAUCAGCCACUGGGACUGAGACACGGCCCAGACUCCUACGGGAGGCAGCAGUGGGGAAUAUUGGACAAUGGGCGAAAGCCUGAUCCAGCAAUGCCGCGUGAGUGAUGAAGGCCUUAGGGUUGUAAAGCUCUUUUACCAGGGAUGAUAAUGACAGUACCUGGAGAAUAAGCUCCGGCUAACUCCGUGCCAGCAGCCGCGGUAAUACGGAGGGAGCUAGCGUUGUUCGGAAUUACUGGGCGUAAAGCGCACGUAGGCGGCUAUUCAAGUCGGGGGUGAAAGCCCGGGGCUCAACCCCGGAACUGCCCUCGAAACUAGGUAGCUAGAAUCUUGGAGAGGCGAGUGGAAUUCCGAGUGUAGAGGUGAAAUUCGUAGAUAUUCGGAAGAACACCAGUGGCGAAGGCGACUCGCUGGACAAGUAUUGACGCUGAGGUGCGAAAGCGUGGGGAGCAAA
rnacentral:rRNA from 1 species